UUCCAAAGGGAAAGAGUAUUUAAGCGCUCUGCGUGCAAGUUCGACGGAGGUAAAUUUGUAAAAUCCUCGAUUUCGGUUUUGUAUUGUUCAUUCCUUCGGUCUCCUCACCGAUCUUUCUCCGGCGAAAAUGGCGAACGAGCAACGGUCAUCGAUAGGGCCCUGGUUCCUCGAAGCGAUACCCUUAGUUAUUGUUCUUCUCAUAGCAGCUCACGUCUUCGCUUUGGUGUAUUGGAUUUAUAGGUUAGCGACUCAAAAACAACCUCCCAGGACGAAGACUCACUGAUUACUGUAUGAUUCGUUCCUGAAAGAAACUUUAGGGAAACCCUAAUUUGUUAAUUGUUGUGUGACUGAUGUUGUGGAGGCGGCCAAAAAGAGCCACAUAACAAUGUUUCUCUGUAAGUAUCUGUCAGUGUGUACUCUCAGAAUUUUUGUUUGGUAUCAUAAGAAUGUGGAAAUGUUUCUUACAAAUCAAUUUUGAUUUGUAUGGUUAUUCAAUUAUUGAAAUUUGAAGGAUCUUGUUUGGUUUUCGUUUUGGAAAGCUGAUUUAUUUGCUGAUUUAUACUAAUUAUAUGAACAAACUUGGCUUUUAUAGGACUUCUCCAAACUCAUUUAGUUAAUGUAGGUCUUAAGUUAUCGCUUGAAAGCAUGUUUCCAUUAUGAUAGGUGAAGAAUCAUCAGGUCAAGAAGUGAAUGAAAGCAUUUUAUUCUGAAAUCCAUUGUUGAAUACACUUUAUUCUGAAAUGUAUUGUUGAAGAGUUUGUUUUACGAGAUUUAAAAUCUACAAUUCUGCUAUUGAAUUUCUUUAUGAAAAAGAAAAAAACAUUUGGGAACAAAUAUCUUGCUCGAUUUCUCACUAGGAGUAGCUUCCUUGUACCAUGGAGAACGAAUUGCUGCAGCUUCUUGUGGACUAAGAGAUCCAUUAACUUGUCUCCUACCAGAGUUCGUUAAUAGUGACAAAACUUUUGUAGCUAGUCAAAUUUGACCUGAAGUAGUGCUACUUUUUCCUAACGAAGCUUUGCUAAACUCAAUUGACAUAAAGUAGGUUUCUUCGACCAACAAAUCAAAGGUUUGAAUUUCUUGCCCCCCUUAUUGUUGAACUCAAAACAUGUGGUUAACUACUUUUGUAUAGUCGGCAGGGUCUAUCUGGGCUCUAUUAGUCAAGAGUUCUCAAUGUAAAUUUCAGAUCAACAGAUCAAUAUGCCGUUUUUUAAAUAGUGGUGUCACUGAAUGAAUGAAAUUAUGUUUUCAGC